UGCCGCCUACGGGACGCAGCAGUGGGGAAUAUUGCACAAUGGGGGAAACCCUGAUGCAGCGACGCCGCGUGAGUGAAGAAGUAUUUCGGUAUGUAAAGCUCUAUCAGCAGGAACGAGACAAGACGGUACCUGACUAAGAAGCCCCGGCUAACUACGUGCCAGCAGCCGCGGUAAUACGUAGGGGGCAAGCGUUAUCCGGAUUUACUGGGUGUAAAGGGAGCGUAGACGGCGAUGCAAGUCUGAAGUGAAAGGCGGGGGCCCAACCCCCGGACUGCUUUGGAAACUGUGUGGCUGGAGGGCAGGAG
rnacentral:rRNA from 1 species